CGUCCAGACUCCUACGGGAGGCAGCAGUGGGGAAUAUUGCACAAUGGGGGAAACCCUGAUGCAGCGACGCCGCGUGGGUGAAGAAGUAUUUCGGUAUGUAAAGCCCUAUCAGCAGGGAAGAUAAUGACGGUACCUGACUAAGAAGCCCCGGCUAACUACGUGCCAGCAGCCGCGGUAAUACGUAGGGGGCAAGCGUUAUCCGGAUUUACUGGGUGUAAAGGGAGCGUAGGUGGCGUGCCAAGUCAGGAGUGAAAACCCAGGGCUUAACCCGGGAACUGCUUUGGAAACUGUACGGCUGGAGUGCUGGAGAGGUAAGCGGAAUUCCUAGUGUAGCGGUGAAAUGCGUAGAUAUUAGGAGGAACACCAGUGGCGAAGGCGGCUUACUGGACAGUAACUGACGUUGAGGCUCGAAAGCGUGGGGAGCAAACAGGAUUAGAUACCCGUGUAAA
rnacentral:rRNA from 1 species